GACGAACGCUGGCGGCGUGCCUAACACAUGCAAGUCGAACGGGACCAGGGGCAACUCUGGUUCAGUGCCGGACGGGUGCGUAACACGUGAGGAACAUGACCUUGGCGGGGAGUAGCCGGCCCAACGGCCGGGUAAGUACCGCGUACGACCACAUGGGGACGAUCCCUGAGUGGUGAAAGCAGCAAUGCGCCGAUGGAGUGCCUCGCGGCCUAUCAGCUAGUUGGUGAGGAACGGCUCACCAAGGCGACGACGGUAGGCUGGUCUGAGAGGAUGGCCAGCCACAUUGGGACUGAGACACGGCCCAGACUCCUACGGGAGGCAGCAGUGGGGAAUAUUGCGCAAUGGACGAAAGUCUGACGCAGCGACGCCGCGU
rnacentral:rRNA from 1 species